rnacentral:rRNA from 1 species
GAUCCUGGCUCAGAUUGAACGCUGGCGGAAUGCUUUACACAUGCAAGUCGAACGGUAGAGGGGGCAACCCCUCGAGAGUGGCGAACGGGUGAGUAAUAUAUCGGAACGUGCCCAGUCGUGGGGGAUAACGUAGCGAAAGUUACGCUAAUACCGCAUACGAUCUACGGAUGAAAGCGGGGGAUCGCAAGACCUCGCGCGAUUGGAGCGGCCGAUAUCAGAUUAGGUAGUUGGUGGGGUAAAGGCUCACCAAGCCAACGAUCUGUAGCUGGUCUGAGAGGACGACCAGCCACACUGGAACUGAGACACGGUCCAGACUCCUACGGGAGGCAGCAGUGGGGAAUUUUGGACAAUGGACGCAAGUCUGAUCCAGCCAUUCCGCGUGCAGGAUGAAGGCCCUCGGGUUGUAAACUGCUUUUGUACGGAACGAAAAGGUUUCCAUUAAUACUGGGGGCUCAUGACGGUACCGUAAGAAUAAGCACCGGCUAACUACGUG